UACAGAGGGUGCAAGCGUUAAUCGGAAUUACUGGGCGUAACGCGCACGUAGGCGGUUUUUUAAGUCAGAUGUGAAAGCCCCGGGCUCAACCUGGGAAUUGCAUUUGAAACUGGGGAACUAGAGUGUGUGAGAGGGGGGUAGAAUUCCAAGUGUAGCGGUGAAAUGCGUAGAGAUUUGGAGGAAUACCAGUGGCGAAGGCGGCCCCCUGGCACAACACUGACGCUCAGGUGCGAAAGCGUGGGGAGCAAACAGG
rnacentral:rRNA from 1 species